rnacentral:rRNA from 1 species
ACUCUUGCCCAGCCUUCUGAAAGGAAGAUUAAUCCAGGAUGGGAUCAUGAGUUCACAUGUCCGCAUGAUUAAAGGUAUUUUCCGGUAGACGAUGGGGAUGCGUUCCAUUAGAUAGUAGGCGGGGUAACGGCCCACCUAGUCAACGAUGGAUAGGGGUUCUGAGAGGAAGGUCCCCCACAUUGGAACUGAGACACGGUCCAAACUCCUACGGGAGGCAGCAGUGAGGAAUAUUGGUCAAUGGGCGAUGGCCUGAACCAGCCAAGUAGCGUGAAGGAUGACUGCCCUAUGGGUUGUAAACUUCUUUUAUAAAGGAAUAAAGUCGGGUAUGCAUACCCGUUUGCAUGUACUUUAUGAAUAAGGAUCGGCUAACUCCGUGCCAGCAGCCGCGGUAAUACGGAGGAUCCGAGCGUUAUCCGGAUUUAUUGGGUUUAAAGGGAGCGUAGAUGGAUGUUUAAGUCAGUUGUGAAAGUUUGCGGCUCAACCGUAAAAUUGCAGUUGAUACUGGAUGUCUUGAGUGCAGUUGAGGCAGGCGGAAUUCGUGGUGUAGCGGUGAAAUGCUUAGAUAUCACGAAGAACUCCGAUUGCGAAGGCAGCCUGCUAAGCUGCAACUGACAUUGAGGCUCGAAAGUGUGGGUAUCAAACAGGAUUAGAUACCCUGGUAGUCCACACGGUAAACGA